rnacentral:misc_RNA from 1 species
AAGUCGUAACAAGGUUUCCGUAGGUGAACCUGCGGAAGGAUCAUUAUCACGUUUAUCCACGUAUCAACCACUGUGAACUAGUAUUUUGACCUUUGAAUUGGGAAGGUAGUUGUUGUUAUUAAACCGUUAUUAAAACAACAAAGAUUGGAAGUUGUUGAGGUUUAGUACAAUCAAACAAAAUGAAAGUUUUGUUUACUUUCUGAUUCAGAGUGUAUUUUUUCCAAUCAAUUAUUUUCAUUAACCAUUUAAACCAAAAUUUUUCUAAAUUUUGAACUGAUUUAAUUUCUUACUCUUUUUAAAUGGAGAAGAAAUAAAUGAUUACGAAACAUAAGAACAACUCUUAGCAACGGAUAUCUUGGUUCUC